GUUUCCUCCAUAUUAUUCUCAUGGUGUUGAACAAGUAUCAUAAGACUGGAUGGGUUUAUUAGGGGUUUCCACUUUUGUUUCUUCCUCAUUCUCUCAUUGCCUGCUGCCAUCCAUGUAAGAUGGGACUUGCUCUUUCUUGCCUUCCACAGUGAUUGUGACCUUCCCCAGCCACAUGAAACUAACAUUAGAACUCAUUGCAAGAGCAUGUCAAGACAGGACCAAAGUGGACUCACACCAUUGCCUUCGGUGAACCUUGAAAAACUUAUCAACACCAAGAACCUGGCCAAGUUAAUGCAAAAGUGUGAAAGAAUGUCUUUCUCUGCUCAACUGAGGAAGUGUUUGGGGAAAUGCCUUUGCUGUAGCUCAGCCUUUGGCAGUCAUCCCUUGUGGAAGAAUACUGAGACCCAAGAAAAGAGGCUGCAAAUGACAUUCC
rnacentral:lncRNA from 1 species